rnacentral:lncRNA from 1 species
AAAAAAAAAAAAAACAAAGAGAGAAAGACUAAUACAUGGAGUCCCUUGCCAAAGGAUGCAUAGGACAUAGAGACCACUCAUCUGGAGCUCAGAAGUCUCCCAACUCGGUUAUGAUGUUCUGAUCUGGCCACCCCGUCCCCAUCUCCUGGGACUGUUCACAUCUCAGAUGGUGUCAGAAGUGGGAUCUGAAGUAGAGGUUGUAACGAUCCCCAGGAGUGCUGAGUGAACAAGCAAGUUACCUGCAGAAUCCACUGUGUCCUUUGAUCUGUCACAGCAGCUGGGGUUCCUGACUUUCCCUCUUGUUGCCCAGGCUGGAGUGCAAUGGCACAAUCUCGGCUCACCGCAACCUCCGCCUCCCGGGUUCAAGCAAUUCUCCUGCCUCAGCCUCCCGAGUAGCUGGGAUUACAGACAUGUGCCACCAUGCCCAGCUAAUUUUGUAUUUUUAGUAGAGACAGGGUUUCUCCAUGUUGAUCAGGCUGGUCUCGAACUCCUGACCUCACAUGAUCCAUCCGCCUCAGCCUCCCAAAGUGGUGGGACACAGAGCCACUGAGCCUGGCCUAUAUGCUUGUAAUUUCAUAAAUGCUGGAGGAACCAUUCCAAUCAUGGAAAGCUGCAAAGACAACAUGUUAAUGAUCAACACCUGUGAAAAGAAGGGAAUGAAAAUAAAAAUUAAAGAGAGAAAAAGGAA